rnacentral:rRNA from 1 species
AACGAACGCUGGCGGCAUGCCUAACACAUGCAAGUCGAACGAAAGCUUCGGCCUUGGUGGCGCACAGGGGCGUAACGCGGGGGAAUCUGCACGUAGGUUCGGGAUAACAGCUGGAAACGGCUGCUAAUACCGGGUGAUGUCGAAAGUCACAAGAUUGAACGCCCGAGUUUGAGCCCGCGUUGGUUUAGGUAGGUGGGAGGGUAAGGGCCUACCAAGCCGUCGAUCCAUAGCUGGGCUGAGAGGAUGAGCCGCCACGCUGCGACUGAGCCGCGGCCCAGACUACUACGCGAGGCAGCAGUGGGGAAUAUUGGACUAUGGGCGCAAGCCUGAUCCAGCUAGGCUGGGUGAGUGAUGAAGGCCCUAGGGUUGUAAAGCUCUUUUACCCGGGAAGAUAAUGACGGUACCGGGAGAAUAAGCCCCGGCUAACUCCGUG